CCUACGGGUGGCAGCAGUCGAGAAUCAUUCACAAUGGGGGAAACCCUGAUGGUGCGAAGCCGCGUGGGGGAAUGAAGGUCUUCGGAUUGUAAACCUCUGUCAUGUGGGAACAAAUUAAAAAGAUAGUACCACAAGAGGAAGAGCCGGCUAACUCUGUGCCAGUAGCCGCGGUAAUACAGCGGUCUCAAGCGUUGUUCGGAAUCACUGGGCGUAAGGCGUGCGUAGGCUGUUUCGUAAGUCGUGUGUGAAAGGCGCGGGCUAAACCCGCGGACGGCAGAUGAUACUGCGAGACUAGAGUAAUGGAGGGGGAACCGGAAUGCUCGGUGUAGCAGUGAAAUGCGGAGAUAUCGAGAGGAACACUCGUGGCGAAGGCGGGUUCCUGGACAUUAACUGACGCUGAGGCACGAAGGCCAGGGGAGCGAAAGGGAUUAGAUACCCUGGUAGUC
rnacentral:rRNA from 1 species